CGCUGGCGGCGUGCCUAAUACAUGCAAGUCGAACGAACUCUGGUAUUGAUUGGUGCUUGCAUCAUGAUUUACAUUUGAGUGAGUGGCGAACUGGUGAGUAACACGUGGGAAACCUGCCCAGAAGCGGGGGAUAACACCUGGAAACAGAUGCUAAUACCGCAUAACAACUUGGACCGCAUGGUCCGAGUUUGAAAGAUGGCUUCGGCUAUCACUUUUGGAUGGUCCCGCGGCGUAUUAGCUAGAUGGUGGGGUAACGGCUCACCAUGGCAAUGAUACGUAGCCGACCUGAGAGGGUAAUCGGCCACAUUGGGACUGAGACACGGCCCAAACUCCUACGGGAGGCAGCAGUAGGGAAUCUUCCACAAUGGACGAAAGUCUGAUGGAGCAACGCCGCGUGAGUGAAGAAGGGUUUCGGCUCGUAAAACUCUGUUGUUAAAGAAGAACAUAUCUGAGAGUAACUGUUCAGGUAUUGACGGUAUUUAACCAGAAAGCCACGGCUAACUACGUGCCAGCAGCCGCGGUAAUACGUAGGUGGCAAGCGUUGUCCGGAUUUAUUGGGCGUAAAGCGAGCGCAGGCGGUUUUUUAAGUCUGAUGUGAAAGCCUUCGGCUCAACCGAAGAAGUGCAUCGGAAACUGGGAAACUUGAGUGCAGAAGAGGACAGUGGAACUCCAUGUGUAGCGGUGAAAUGCGUAGAUAUAUGGAAGAACACCAGUGGCGAAGGCGGCUGUCUGGUCUGUAACUGACGCUGAGGCUCGAAAGUAUGGGUAGCAAACAGGAUUAGAUACCCUGGUAGUCCAUACCGUAAACGAUGAAUGCUAAGUGUUGGAGGGUUUCCGCCCUUCAGUGCUGCAGCUAACGCAUUAAGCAUUCCGCCUGGGGAGUACGGCCGCAAGGCUGAAACUCAAAGGAAUUGACGGGGGCCCGCACAAGCGGUGGAGCAUGUGGUUUAAUUCGAAGCUACGCGAAGAACCUUACCAGGUCUUGACAUACUAUGCAAAUCUAAGAGAUUAGACGUUCCCUUCGGGGACAUGGAUACAGGUGGUGCAUGGUUGUCGUCAGCUCGUGUCGUGAGAUGUUGGGUUAAGUCCCGCAACGAGCGCAACCCUUAUUAUCAGUUGCCAGCAUUAAGUUGGGCACUCUGGUGAGACUGCCGGUGACAAACCGGAGGAAGGUGGGGAUGACGUCAAAUCAUCAUGCCCCUUAUGACCUGGGCUACACACGUGCUACAAUGGAUGGUACAACGAGUUGCGAACUCGCGAGAGUAAGCUAAUCUCUUAAAGCCAUUCUCAGUUCGGAUUGUAGGCUGCAACUCGCCUACAUGAAGUCGGAAUCGCUAGUAAUCGCGGAUCAGCAUGCCGCGGUGAAUACGUUCCCGGGCCUUGUACACACCGCCCGUCACACCAUGAGAGUUUGUAACACCCAAAGUCGGUGGGGUAACCUUUUAGGAACCAGCCGCCUAAGGUGGGACAGAUGAUUAGGGUGAAG
rnacentral:rRNA from 2 species